rnacentral:rRNA from 1 species
AUGAGCAGGUGGAUCUGUCAGUCUGCAUGCUCGGCUCGUUGUGUUCUUGCCUGGCUGGUCGUCGACCCUGAGGUAUGCUCUCCUCUCCGCCUCGCUUCAGUAUCUUGUGCUCAUGCUGCCACUGAAGCUCUGAGCUUCCCUUUUCCCUGCAGUUCUGUUCUCAUAUUCCCCUUCUGCCGCUGUUUCCUCCCACUUAACCAUCCAGCGUCCCUGCACUUCCCGCAUCCGUUCGUCUGCUCGUGUGGUUCUAGUUCAUGCCUACUAUGGAUGUUUGCCCAUGGUGUUGAACCUGCUGCAGUUUGGGCGCCAGGACGUGCUGCUUGGUCAUGUUUUUGUGGAGAUUUGGGAUUAUACAUGUUGCUCAAGUAUGCCAUGAGGUAUUUUUCUCUCUUCAGUGAUUUACAAUUACUGUCAAUGGUAAAUUUGAGGUUCCAUGGCAUGUUUUGCAUUUUACAUCUUAGGAAAAUUCACAUUGGUAAUUGGAUUAUAGAAGUUUGUGUUGUUGAAUCUGUGGUUGAACUGGCAGGUGUAGACAUCUGA